UACGUAGGGGGCUAGCGUUGUCCGGAUUUAUUGGGCGUAAAGCGCGCGUAGGCGGCUACCUAAGUCGGAUGUGAAAGCCCCUGGCUUAACUGGGGAAGUGCACCCGAAACUGGGUAGCUAGAGUGCAAAAGAGGGUCGCGGAAUUCCCGGUGUAGAGGUGAAAUUCGUAGAUAUCGGGAGGAACACCGGUGGCGAAGGCGGCGACCUGGGUUGACACUGACGCUGAGGCGCGAAAGCGUGGGGAGCAAACAGG
rnacentral:rRNA from 1 species